GGAGAGGACUGCGAGCUCUCCCACUCGGCCCCUCAGUUUGGCUCCAUCUACCAUGUCAAAGGAGUCAUCAACCUGCCCUAUGCCGAGAUCGAGGAGCCCUUCGAGGCCUGGUACAACCUCACCGG